UAAUCACGGCAAUGGAUAUCCCAACUCUUGCAUUGAUGAAGAACGUAGCAAAAUGUUAUAUUGGUGUGUAUUGUAGAAUCCUACGAACCAUUGAGUCUUUGAACACAAGUUUCACUCAAACCCACUAGGCCAAGGGUACGUUUUCCUGGGUGACA
rnacentral:rRNA from 1 species